rnacentral:rRNA from 1 species
GACGAACGCUGGCGGCGUGCUUAACACAUGCAAGUCGAACCGAAAGGCCCUGCUUUUGUGGGGUGCUCGAGUGGCGAACGGGUGAGUAACACGUGAGUAACCUGCCCUUGACUUUGGGAUAACUUCAGGAAACUGGGGCUAAUACCGGAUAGGAGCUCCUGCUGCAUGGUGGGGGUUGGAAAGUUUCGGCGGUUGGGGAUGGACUCGCGGCUUAUCAGCUUGUUGGUGGGGUAGUGGCUUACCAAGGCUUUGACGGGUAGCCGGCCUGAGAGGGUGACCGGCCACAUUGGGACUGAGAUACGGCCCAGACUCCUACGGGAGGCAGCAGUGGGGAAUAUUGCACAAUGGGCGGAAGCCCGAUGCAGCAACGCCGCGUGCGGGAUGACGGCCUUCGGGUUGUAAACCGCUUUCGCCUGUGACGAAGCGUGAGUGACGGUAAUGGGUAAAGAAGCACCGGCUAACUACGUG